rnacentral:rRNA from 1 species
CGGGAGACACACGGCGGGUGCUAACGUCCGUCGUGAAGAGGGAAACAACCCAGACCGCCAGCUAAGGUCCCAAAGUCAUGGUUAAGUGGGAAACGAUGUGGGAAGGCCCAGACAGCCAGGAUGUUGGCUUAGAAGCAGCCAUCAUUUAAAGAAAGCGUAAUAGCUCACUGGUCGAGUCGGCCUGCGCGGAAGAUGUAACGGGGCUAAACCAUGCACCGAAGCUGCGGCAGCGACACUAUGUGUUGUUGGGUAGGGGAGCGUUCUGUAAGCCUGUGAAGGUGUGCUGUGAGGCAUGCUGGAGGUAUCAGAAGUGCGAAUGCUGACAUAAGUAACGAUAAAGCGGGUGAAAAGCCCGCUCGCCGGAAGACCAAGGGUUCCUGUCCAACGUUAAUCGGGGCAGGGUGAGUCGACCCCUAAGGCGAGGCCGAAAGGCGUAGUCGAUGGGAAACAGGUUAAUAUUCCUGUACUUGGUGUUACUGCGAAGGGGGGACGGAGAAGGCUAUGUUGGCCGGGCGACGGUUGUCCCGGUUUAAGCGUGUAGGCUGGUUUUCCAGGCAAAUCCGGAAAAUCAAGGCUGAGGCGUGAUGACGAGGCACUACGGUGCUGAAGCAACAAAUGCCCUGCUUCCAGGAAAAGCCUCUAAGCAUCAGGUAACAUCAAAUCGUACCCCAAACCGACACAGGUGGUCAGGUAGAGAAUACCAAGGCGCUUGAGAGAACUCGGGUGAAGGAACUAGGCAAAAUGGUGCCGUAACUUCGGGAGAA